AAAAGCUACACUGCGAGCGGCAGCGCACAAUAGCAGGAUCUGAACCCUUUCUCCGCGCGACGGUGACCCAGAUUUAGAGGUUUCUACUCACUGUUCACCGCUUAUAUUCUUUCUUUUUCUGCUGCUCUUCCCUCACACACAACUCUCUCUCUAAAAACUAUUAUUUUUUCCUUCGUUUCGCAUCCUUGCUGAGAACACGAGAUAUUUUCCAGAGAAGAAGCUAAGUAUAUUGCAGGUGUAUGAAGUGUUGAUGGUGCAAGAACAUCCAGACUAAUUGAAUCAAGUGAGACUUGGUUCUUUGACUGUCAAUUUUGGGGCAAAACCUUGUAGACAAGACUGGAUUUUAAAUUGUAUGUUUUGAUUCUUUUGGCUAUAAAUACCAGUUGUGCCAUAUUUGAUGUCAUGAUGCAUGUUAAUUGCUAGUCAUACUAGCCAUACAGAGAGUUUUACCUGCCCUCCAAUUAAUAUCCAAAAAAAUCGAGGAAAACUUGUUGUAGAUAGGAGAGCUGAUAUAUAUUUCUAUUAGCCUUUAUGUUCAAGGCCAAGCGCAUGGGUAUUUCUCCAUCACAAGUUAGUUGUCAUACAAAAAGUUACUCAUGCCCUAAACAUAGCAGACCAGGAGAAACACCUGAAUAUGAUGUAAAAUGUAAAUGUACCGAAAUAUCAGAACAGAGACAUUGGAUUACGUCAGAAACUGUACAAAUUGAACCAGGUGAUACUAUUACUGUAGUUUCCCAAUGUGGUACUAGUGAAGCAUUACAGCAAUCUUCUGAAGAUGCGACAAAAAAUACUCUUGCUGAAAAUUUGGAUCCACCAUCUGAAGAUGCACGCAAGAGUGGUUUGACUGAUAAAAGUUUGGGCCCUAAACUAACUGCAAUAGAUCAGAAACUUGAGUUUGGUUCAGAGGAUACACGUGGUGGACCAUCAAAAGAACAAUAUUCACUUAGCUCUGGAAUCAUACAGGAUCAAAAUGCACUAUCAACCUUCACUAUUGAUGAAACCUUGCAACGAUUGUGUGCAGAUGCAGCCAAGAAUUCUCUUGCUAAAGAUUUAGAAUUACCAUGUGAAGAAGCUAGUAAAAGUAGUCAGAUUGGUAAAAGUCCAUGCCCUAAGCAAUCCACAUCUGAACGAACACUUGAGUUUUCUUCAGACAUUGCUUGUUGUGAACCAUCAUUAGAAAAACGAAAGGCUUGCUGUGACAUUGUAAAAGGCGAAUUGGUGGAAAUCAGCACAACAUUGUCUAGCUGUACUGCUACCGGGCAUUUGGAGCCACCUCCUGUUCUUGUGACAUAUUUAGGUCUGGCUCCUGACAGUGAGAUCAACAUUCCUGAUGAAAAACUACGACCACCUCAUGAUGAAGUGGAUAAACACUCGAAUCUUGAACGGUCAGAAACACCAUCUAAAGAUGCAGUUAGUAAUUCCAGUCAGGUGGGCCGGAGGGUUAAAACAACUGCAAAAUCAUCAAGAAAAAAAUAUAUACUAAGAUCUUUGGUAAGAAGUGAUAGAGUUCUGCGGUCAAGAUCACAAGAAAAAUCUAAAUCUCCUGAUUCCAGUGCAAACCUGGCUAAUGUUAGCUCCAAAAUAGAGAAAACUGUGACAAAUAAGAAAAAGAGACAAGGAAAGAUAAUUGAAGCUGAUGAAUAUUCAAAAAUCAGGAAGCAUUUAAGAUAUAUGUUGAAUCGGAUGAGCUAUGAACAAAGCCUGAUCACAGCUUAUUCUGCAGAAGGCUGGAAAGGACUAAGCCUAGAAAAGCUAAAGCCAGAGAAGGAACUGCAAAGAGCUAAAGCUGAAAUUUUUCGACGUAAAUUGAAUAUAAGAGAUUUAUUUCAACGUAUUGAUUCACUAUGUGCUGAAGGAAAGCUCCCAGAAUCGUUAUUUGAUUCUGAAGGGCAGAUUAGCAGUGAGGAUGUAGGAGAUUUUAUUAUCAUUAUUGUUAUUAUUUUCUAAUUGACACUCUUAAACUCCUAUUUGCACUCAUUUCUACUUUUUUGGAUGCUUUUUUGAGAUAAUGGAUGUCUAUUGGAAAUAUUAAUGCUUACAUGAGAAAUUUUUGCAUGGCAGAUAUUCUGUGCAAAAUGUGGUGCCGAAGACUUGACUGCUGAUAACGAUAUUAUACUUUGUGAUGGUACCUGCGACCGAGGGUUCCAUCAGUUUUGUUUAGUACCACCAUUGUUAAAAGAAGAUAGUAAAUCCUAUCCGCCUGCCUGAUAGCAAUAAGUUUAAUAAUGAUUGUUAAAUAUCUACUUAUCAGUUAUGGUUUCUUGACCCUUUUGUUUCCCUCUGAUCUGAUGGCAUACAGUUCCUCCUGAUGAUGAGGGUUGGUUAUGCCCUGGAUGUGAUUGCAAAGUUGAUUGCAUUGAAUUGCUUAAUGACUCUCAAGGAACAAAUAUUUCUAUCAGUGAUAGUUGGGAGAAGGUUUUCCCUGAGGCUGCAGCAGCUGGACAAAAUCCAGAUCAGAACUUUGGACUUCCUUCAGAUGAUUCUGAUGAUAAUGAUUAUGAUCCUAAUGGACCAGAAAUUGGUGAGAAGAGUCCAGGCAAUGAAUCAAGCUCUGAUGAAUCUUGCUUCACUUCUGCAUCUGAUGAGUUGGAGGCUCCACCAGGUGAUGAGCAGCAUUUGGGGCUUCCUUCUGAUGAUUCAGAGGAUGAUGACUAUAAUCCUGAUGGUCCAGAUCUUGAUGAGAACUUGAUGGAGAGUUCAAAUUCUGACUUUACAUCUGACUCUGAGGGUCUUGCCGCUACUCUUGAUGAUAAUGAGUUGUCUGGAGAAGAUGAAAGCCGUGUGUACAUUAGACCUCAAGGAGAUAUUACUAGAGAAGGUUCUAACCAUGGUGGAAAACAGAAGCAAUCUUUACAGAGUGAGCUGUUAUCCAUAUUAGAGCCAAGUCCUAGCCAAGAUGGGUCUGUACCCAUUUCUGGGAAAAGAAAUGUUGAGAGAUUGGACUACAAAAAAUUGUACAAUGAAACAUAUGGAAGUAUUUCAUCUGACUCAAGUGAUGAUGAAGAUUUCACUGAUACUGUUGGACCAAGGAAGAGGAGGAGAAGUACAGAAGUUGCGCCUGCAUCAGUGAAUGGAGAUGCCUCUGUGACCAAGACUGGAAAGCAAGACCUAGAAGGGACUGAAUAUGCUCCUAAGAGUUGUCUACAGUCUAACUGUGAAAAUACAAGCAUAUCACCAGCUAAAUCACAGGAAGGCUCUUCUCCAUCUAGUUUUUGUGGUAGAACAGUUAAGAGAUCAGUAUACAGAAGACUUGGAGAAGCUGUAACUCAGAGACUCUACAAAUGCUUUAAGGAAAAUCAAUAUCCUGACCGAGCUACAAAAGAGAGUCUGGCAAAAGAGCUGGACAUUACUUUCCGGCAGGUUAGUAAGUGGUUUGAAAAUGCUCGAUGGAGCUUCAAUCAUUCAUCAUCUAUGGAUGCACUGGUCAGAAAAACUUCAGAAAAGGAUUCUCCACUGCCAAAAACUAAUUCGAAACCACUUGAACGAGGACAUGAAACUGUUGGCGGAGAUGCUACUUCCAAUGGAGCUCAAAGUGAGAAAUCACCCAAGAUUGGUAAUGCCACGGCAGAAAGCAACAUGGGAGAUGCAAGGGAUGCUAAAUUGGGUAGCCAGGAAGGCAGCAAACGAAAAUCUAAAAUCCUGAAAUCUAGGAAGAGAAAGGACAUAUCAGGUCAGAUAUCAUCACGAACAGAUUCAAUGACUGAGGAAACAGAAAAGCUUCCGGCUAAUUUACCAAAAGCUCAAGAAACACAAGCGAGCGGCCGAGUGACAAGAAGUAAAUCUGUUGCUUGAAGAUUUUUCUUCUUUACAUCCUCCUAUCGGAUAAUAAGAGACCAAUUACCUAUUGGGAAAGCAAGAUGUUUGGAGUAGAGGGAAUGGAUCACCUUCUGCCAAGAAAGUGAUCCAACCGGUGGCAUUGUUUUUCUGGUAAUGUGAUAGUGCUCUAGUUUUCUUAUUCCAUUGAGACUUCCUUCGUUUAGUUUCACCUCUUCGCAAGCACGUUAAACAAAAAUGUCCAAUCUAACUACCAAUUAUUUUAAAUGUUUUGCCUUUUUAUAGAUUUUUUCCCCUCAAUGUUAGGGGUAAGUGUCGGUCCAUUCAGUUUGGUCUAAAAAAUUGAAGAGACCGAAUAAAUUGAAAUUUAUAGCAGAUCAAAUCGAAUUGAAUCAAAGUAGUAGAAAAAUUGUAUCGAUUUGAUUCAGCUUAAUUUAGUUUAAUUUGUUAAUUUGCACUAUUUUC
rnacentral:misc_RNA from 1 species